rnacentral:tRNA from 1 species
AGGGGUAUAGCUCAAUGGUAGAGCAUUCGACUGCAGAAUGAGAGGUCUCUGGUUCAAACACGGGUGUCCCCU